rnacentral:rRNA from 1 species
GAUGAACGCUGGCGGCGUGCCUAAUACAUGCAAGUCGAGCGAACGGACGAGAAGCUUGCUUCUCUGAUGUUAGCGGCGGACGGGUGAGUAACACGUGGAUAACCUACCUAUAAGACUGGGAUAACUUCGGGAAACCGGAGCUAAUACCGGAUGAUAUUUUGAACCGCAUGGUUCAAAAGUGAAAGACGGUCUUGCUGUCACUUAUAGAUGGAUCCGCGCUGCAUUAGCUAGUUGGUAAGGUAACGGCUUACCAAGGCAACGAUGCAUAGCCGACCUGAGAGGGUGAUCGGCCACACUGGAACUGGGACACGGUCCAGACUCCUACGGGAGGCAGCAGUAGGGAAUCUUCCGCAAGGGGCGAAAGCCUGACGGAGCAACGCCGCGUGAGUGAUGAAGGUCUUCGGAUCGUAAAACUCUGUUAUUAGGGAAGAACAUAUGUGUAAGUAACUGUGCACAUCUUGACGGUACCUAAUCAGAAAGCCACGGCUAACUACGUG